rnacentral:rRNA from 1 species
AACGAACGCUGGCGGCAGGCUUAACACAUGCAAGUCGAGCGCCCCGCAAGGGGAGCGGCAGACGGGUGAGUAACGCGUGGGAAUCUACCCAACCCUACGGAAUAACGCAUGGAAACGUGUGCUAAUACCGUAUACGCCCUACGGGGGAAAGAUUUAUCGGGGAGGGAUGAGCCCGCGGUGGAUUAGCUAGUUGGUGGGGGAAAGGCCUACCAGGGCGACGAUCCAUAGCUGGGCUGAGAGGAAGCUCAGCCACAUUGGGACUGAGAGACUGGCCAGACUCCUGCGGGAUGCAGCAGUGUGGAAUAUUGGACAAUGGGCGCAAGCCUGAUCCAGCCAUGCCUCGUGAGUGAUGAAGGCCCGAGGGUUGUAAAGCUCUUUCACCGAUGAAGAUAAUGACGGUAGUCGGAGAAGAAGCCCCGGCUAACUUCGUGCCAGCAGCCGCGGUAAAAC